rnacentral:pre_miRNA from 10 species
GUGGAUCUUGAUCUGACUCGUUGUUCCUUUUUCCUAUGCAUAUACUUCUUUGAGAAUUUGAUCUAAAGAGGCAUAGGGCAUGGGAAAAUGGGGCGACUGAGGUACUUCACCAUUUAUU